UGUAAACAUCCUCCCCUCCGCU
rnacentral:miRNA from 1 species